GAUGAACGCUGGCGGCGUGCCUAAUACAUGCAAGUCGAGCGAACGGACGAGAAGCUUGCUUCUCUGAUGUUAGCGGCGGACGGGUGAGUAACACGUGGAUAACCUACCUAUAAGACUGGGAUAACUUCGGGAAACCGGAGCUAAUACCGGAUAAUAUUUUGAACCGCAUGGUUCAAAAGUGAAAGACGGUCUUGCUGUCACUUAUAGAUGGAUCCGCGCUGCAUUAGCUAGUUGGUAAGGUAACGGCUUACCAAGGCAACGAUGCAUAGCCGACCUGAGAGGGUGAUCGGCCACACUGGAACUGAGACACGGUCCAGACUCCUACGGGAGGCAGCAGUAGGGAAUCUUCCGCAAUGGGCGAAAGCCUGACGGAGCAACGCCGCGUGAGUGAUGAAGGUCUUCGGAUCGUAAAACUCUGUUAUUAGGGAAGAACAUAUGUGUAAGUAACUGUGCACAUCUUGACGGUACCUAAUCAGAAAGCCACGGCUAACUACGUGCCAGCAGCCGCGGUAAUACGUAGGUGGCAAGCGUUAUCCGGAAUUAUUGGGCGUAAAGCGCGCGUAGGCGGUUUUUUAAGUCUGAUGUGAAAGCCCACGGCUCAACCGUGGAGGGUCAUUGGAAACUGGAAAACUUGAGUGCAGAAGAGGAAAGUGGAAUUCCAUGUGUAGCGGUGAAAUGCGCAGAGAUAUGGAGGAACACCAGUGGCGAAGGCGACUUUCUGGUCUGUAACUGACGCUGAUGUGCGAAAGCGUGGGGAUCAAACAGGAUUAGAUACCCUGGUAGUCCACGCCGUAAACGAUGAGUGCUAAGUGUUAGGGGGUUUCCGCCCCUUAGUGCUGCAGCUAACGCAUUAAGCACUCCGCCUGGGGAGUACGACCGCAAGGUUGAAACUCAAAGGAAUUGACGGGGACCCGCACAAGCGGUGGAGCAUGUGGUUUAAUUCGAAGCAACGCGAAGAACCUUACCAAAUCUUGACAUCCUUUGACAACUCUAGAGAUAGAGCUUUCCCCUUCGGGGGACAAAGUGACAGGUGGUGCAUGGUUGUCGUCAGCUCGUGGCGUGAGAUGUUGGGUUAAGUCCCGCAACGAGCGCAACCCUUAAGCUUAGUUGCCAUCAUUAAGUUGGGCACUCUAAGUUGACUGCCGGUGACAAACCGGAGGAAGGUGGGGAUGACGUCAAAUCAUCAUGCCCCUUAUGAUUUGGGCUACACACGUGCUACAAUGGACAAUACAAAGGGCAGCGAAACCGUGAGGUCAAGCAAAUCCCAUAAAGUUGUUCUCAGUUCGGAUUGUAGUCUGCAACUCGACUACAUGAAGCUGGAAUCGCUAGUAAUCGUAGAUCAGCAUGCUACGGUGAAUACGUUCCCGGGUCU
rnacentral:rRNA from 1 species